rnacentral:lncRNA from 1 species
CCCAGUGAAGGGCUCGGUGGUUGGGCGGGGGGACUUCCCCGCAGCCCAGGCCAGAGAUCCGCCCUUGUACGGAGCUCUGAGCCCCCGCUGCCAAGGACACUUCCAGAAACCCCCCCGCUGCAGCCAGGACCUUUGGAGAAAUCUUGCCCAAAAGAUCUGGCGAGGAGCCCCACCACAGAUGAGCAGAUACAUCCCAGGUAAAAUGACAAUUUCUUUCAUUGUGCAGCCUUGUCAUCGGGGUUUUAAAAAACUCCACUUAGGACUACAUGUAUACACAGCUGAAAAAUUCUACUGAAACCGGCAACUGCCCCAGGCCAGAAUGUGUGGGCAUUUUCUCUUGAAGUGAUGGAAGAGAUAAAAUUAAAGGUAAAAGAACUAUUAUAACUUUUCUUGAGGGUUGAGAGCUUGCUGAGCACCAGACAUUUUGUACACAGAAUUGUACCGUGUACUACAGGCUAGCAUCACCGUGCCUAUUUUACAGAUGAAGAAACUGGUUAAGCAAUAACAUUAGUUAAGAGAUUGGUCUGGGAUGCAGACCCUGACCUCUCUGACUGGAAAGUCAGGCUCUUUCUGUGAUCACAAGCCGUGGGUGUUAUCACAUCGAUAGCAGCAUAAGGCUCUGGGAACUGAGCACUUGGUAUUCUCAUUCUCUUACUGGUCAAACUGCUCUUUAAUUCUGAAGACCCUUCCAGAAAUAGGUAAAAAUUCAAUCAAAUAACUACCAAACUGGGCUUUGCAGGGUCUCUGUGAAACCCUCCUACAUCCUCAUUUACUUGAUCACUUAAGGGAUCAAUUUGUUCUGCUUCCUGCAACAUAUCUUCCCAGAGCUGAAUGUCACUCAUGUUCUUAACCAAAGAUGAACAAAAUCCUUUCUGUUUAAUUUGCUUUCAUUUUAAUAGCCAAUUAUUCAAUUCGUAAGCCUACUAAGUGUGCCAGCCACAUCUUCCCACAAAAAGAGGAAGAGAGGAUUGGUUUCCAAGAGCAAGCAGCCAUUGCUGUUACCUAUACAUUUUGUUCUUCUUGACAGAGCAGUACAUUUACAAAUUUUUCAGCCUGCAUAUCUGUUGACACAUCAGCAGGACUGAAAACAGUGCCUACACUCACCACCUUAGUGAUGAUUCCACCAAUACAUAAUUCACAUAAUCCCUUAGGGUUGCCUAUAUAAUCUAAAUAAUCCAACUUCAGUCAACAAAUGGUUGUUGUGUAAAAACACAAAAGAGAAAACAUGCUUCAGCUAUGUCAGUAUAACAUGCACGAUGAUAUUAAUUUUCCUAUCAUAAAGAGUGAAGUUUUAU